GACUCGGUAGCUCAGUCGGGAGAGCACCAUCUUGACAGGGUGGGGGUCGGCGGUUCGAGCCCGCCCCGAGUCACCA
rnacentral:tRNA from 3 species